UACGAAGGGGGCGAGCGUUGUUCGGAAUUACUGGGCGUAAAGGGCGCGCAGGCGGCUCUGCAAGUCAGAUGUGAAAGCCCCGGGCUUAACCUGGGAAUUGCAUUUGAUACUCUGGAGCUUGAGUGUGGGAGAGGAGAGUGGAAUUCCCAGUGUAGAGGUGAAAUUCGUAGAUAUUGGGAAGAACACCGGUGGCGAAGGCGGCUCUCUGGACCACAACUGACGCUGAGGCGCGAAAGCGUGGGGGGCAAACAGG
rnacentral:rRNA from 1 species